AGAGUUUGAUCCUGGCUCAGGAUGAACGCUGGCGGCGUGCCUAACACAUGCAAGUCGAACGGACUCAUACUGAAACCUAGUGAUUUAUGAGUUAGUGGCGGACGGGUGAGUAACGCGUGGAUAACCUGCCGUAUACCGGGGAUAACACUUAGAAAUAGGUGCUAAUACCGCAUGAGCGCACAGCUCCGCAUGGGGCGGUGUGAAAAACUCCGGUGGUAUACGAUGGAUCCGCGUCUGAUUAGCCAGUUGCGGGGGUAACGGCCCACCAAAGCGACGAUCAGUAGCCGGCCUGAGAGGGUGAACGGCCACAUUGGGACUGAGACACGGCCCAGACUCCUACGGGAGGCGGCAGUGGGGAAUAUUGCACAAUGGGGGAAACCCUGAUGCAGCGACGCCGCGUGAGUGAAGAAGUAUCUCGGUAUGUAAAGCUCUAUCAGCAGGAAAGAUAAUGACGGUACCUGACUAAGAAGCCCCGGCUAACUACGUG
rnacentral:rRNA from 1 species